UACGUAGGGGGCUAGCGUUGUCCGGAAUCAUUGGGCGUAAAGCGCGUGUAGGCGGCCAUCUAAGUCGGGCGUGAAAUCCCACGGCUCAACCGUGGAAGUGCACUCGAAACUGGAUGGCUAGAGUCCUGGAGAGGAAGGUGGAAUGCUUGGUGUAGAGGUGAAAUUCGUAGAUAUCAAGCGGAACACCGGUGGCGAAGGCGGCCUUCUGGACAGUGACGUGACGCUGAGACGCGAAAGCGUGGGGAGCAAACAGGG
rnacentral:rRNA from 1 species